rnacentral:rRNA from 1 species
AGGACGAACGCUGGCGGCGUGCUUAACACAUGCAAGUCGAGCGGUAAGGCCCUUUCGGGGGUACACGAGCGGCGAACGGGUGAGUAACACGUGGGUGACCUGCCCUCAGCUCUGGGAUAAGCCUGGGAAACUGGGUCUAAUACCGGAUAUGACCUCUCAUCGCAUGGUGGGUGGUGGAAAGUUUUUCGGCUGGGGAUGGGCCCGCGGCCUAUCAGCUUGUUGGUGGGUGAUGGCCUACCGAAGGCGACGACGGGUAGCCGGCCUGAGAGGGCGACCGGCCACGACUGGGACUGAGACACGGCCCAGACUCCUACGGGAGGCCAGCAGUCGGGGAAUAUUGCGCAAUGGCGGAAGCCUGACGCAGCGACGCCGCGUGGGGGAUGGACGCCUCGGGUUAGUAAACCUCUUUCGCCAUCGACG